UGGCUCAGUUGGUAGAGCAUGGUGUUUGCAACGCCGGUGUUGUGGGUUCGAUUCCCAC
rnacentral:tRNA from 1 species